AGCCCGGUAUCCGAAAUUGCAGUAUACGACUUGACCAGUCCCCCUGGGAGACAAAGGUUUAUUACCUGUUGUCUUUUGCAGUCAUCGGGAGGAGAAAACCUUCAUGCAAACUGCACGUGCCGUAGAGGAGAAAGGUAUUUGUCUUGUCAGUAGUGGAGGAGCCCAUGCAGCUGAAAAAUAACAUGGCGAUGCGGGAAAAGGUCCACAGCCUGCGCUUCAAUCAAGAUCACGGUGAGGGUUGCUUCAUGUGUUGCAUGGACUCUGGGGUUCGAAUAUACAAUGUGGAACCUUUGGCAGAGAAGGCACAUUUAUGUGAGAGUUUAGUUGGUAGUGUUAGCCAUGGUGAGAUGUUACACAGGACCAACUUGCUGGCAAUGGUGGGUGGAGGUGCUGUCCCAAAAUAUGCAGACAACACGGUUUUAAUUUACGAUGACUGCACCUCGAGGCUAGUCCUUGAAUUUACAUUCUCCGCUCCUGUACUGGCUGUUAGAUUGAGAAAAGACAGGUUAGUGGUAGUUUGUCGACGGCAGAUACAUGUCUUCUCUUUCCCACAUUCUCCUCGGCGACUUUUUACCUGUGAAACACGGGACAAUCCCUUGGGACUGUGUGAGGUGUCCCCACUACCUUCUGCUGACAGACAUAUAUUAUGUUUUCCUGCCCACAAACUUGGUGCUGUUCAACUAGUGGAUCUUUUAACAACAGAGUCGACCGUUUCUCAAGCCCCACUCACUGUCCAAGCUCAUAAAAGUGAGCUUGCCUGCCUCAGUGUGAACCGUGAAGGCACAUUGUUGGCUACAGCAUCCCACAAAGGCACUCUAAUAAGGGUGUUUGACACUGCUCGUAGAGUGCUCUUGGCUGAAUUGAGAAGAGGCUCUGAUCCUGCCACUUUAUACUGCAUUAACUUCAGUGGGGACAGCGAGUUCAUUUGCUGCUCAAGUGACAAAGGCACCAUCCACAUCUUUGCCCUCAAGGACACACAACUGAAUCGUCGCUCAACGUUUUCACGAAUUGGAUUCUUGGGAGGGUACAUGGAGUCCCAGUGGGCCCUUGCGAACUUCACAGUGCCUCCCGAGUGUGCCUGUGUUUGUGCCUUUGGAGCCAACUCUACGGUAUAUGCAAUCUGCGUGGAUGGCACAUUCCACAAGUAUGUCUUCAAGGCAGCGGGAUGUUGCAAUCGAGAAUCUUUUGAUGUUUACCUAGAUCUAGUCACAGAUGAGGAGUUCUAAAUUUAGAAGAUAUAAAGAAUCUGAGAAAUACUGAAAUUGCUGUUACGGAGAUGUUAAUAAUGGUUGUACAAAAAUUCAGCUUCAGCACUAGGUGUAGACGUGAAGAGAGGGCGCCUCACACCCGACGGGCCAG
rnacentral:misc_RNA from 1 species